CCCUUAGAUGUUCUGGGCGGCCCGCGCACUACAAUGGCGUGUGCAGCGAGUGCCGAAGUAGAGUUUUCCGAGGUAUUCUUGCAAUGCUCGUUUUGAUGGGGAUAGACCCUUGCAACUGUUGGUUUUGAACGAGGAAUUCCUUGUAAGCAUGGUUUAUCAUCCGACGCUGAAUGCGUCCCUGCCCUUUGUACACACCGCCCGUCGCUACUACCGAUUGAAUGGUUUAGUGAGAUCUUCGGAUUGGCGCCACUGCGGCUCAGCAAUGGGCUCGGUGGAUGCCGAAAAGUUGAUCAAACUUGAUCAUUUAGAGGAAGUAAAAGUCGUAACA
rnacentral:rRNA from 1 species